ACGUACACUCCUACGGGAGGCAGCAGUGGGGAAUAUUGCACAAUGGGCGCAAGCCUGAUGCAGCCAUGCCGCGUGUAUGAAGAAGGCCUUCGGGUUGUAAAGUACUUUCAGCGGGGAGGAAGGCGAUAAGGUUAAUAACCUUGUUGAUUGACGUUACCCGCAGAAGAAGCACCGGCUAACUCCGUGCCAGCAGCCGCGGUAAUACGGAGGGUGCAAGCGUUAAUCGGAAUUACUGGGCGUAAAGCGCACGCGGGCGGUCUGUCAAGUCGGAUGUGAAAUCCCCGGGCUCAACCUGGGAACUGCAUUCGAAACUGGCAGGCUAGAGUCUUGUAGAGGGGGGUAGAAUUCCAGGUGUAGCGGUGAAAUGCGUAGAGAUCUGGAGGAAUACCGGUGGCGAAGGCGGCCCCCUGGACAAAGACUGACGCUCAGGUGCGAAAGCGUGGGGAGCAAACAGGAUUAGAAACCCCAGUAGUCCCAUGA
rnacentral:rRNA from 1 species